CGCGGUAAUACGGAGGGUGCGAGCGUUAAUCGGAAUUACUGGGCGUAAAGCGCAUGCAGGCGGCCUGUUAAGUCAGAUGUGAAAGCCCGGGGCUUAACCUCGGAAUUGCAUUUGAAACUGGCAGGCUAGAGUCUUGUAGAGGGGGGUAGAAUUUCAGGUGUAGCGGUGAAAUGCGUAGAGAUCUGAAGGAAUACCAGUGGCGAAGGCGGCCCCCUGGACAAAGACUGACGCUCAGAUGCGAAAGCGUGGGGAGCAAACAGGAUUAGAUACCCUGGUAGUCCACGCCGUAAACGAUGUCUACUUGGAGGUUGUGGCCUUGAGCCGUGGCUUUCGGAGCUAACGCGUUAAGUAGACCGCCUGGGGAGUACGGUCGCAAGAUUAAAACUCAAAUGAAUUGACGGGGGCCCGCACAAGCGGUGGAGCAUGUGGUUUAAUUCGAUGCAACGCGAAGAACCUUACCUACUCUUGACAUCCAGAGAA
rnacentral:rRNA from 1 species